AAUCAACGCUGGCGGCGUGCCUCAGACAUGCAAGUCGAACGCGAAAGUCCCCUUCGGGGGACAAGUAGAGUGGCGCACGGGUGAGUAACACGUAGGUAAUCUACCUUCGGAUGGGGAAUAACAACCGGAAACGGUUGCUAAUACCGCAUAAUGCAGCGGCACCUAAUGGUGACAGUUGUUAAAGCGGGGGAUCGAAAGACCUCGCGUCUGAAGAGGAGCCUGCGGCGGAUUAGCUAGNGGUAAGGUAAUGGCUUACCAAGGCGACGAUCCGUAGCCGGCCUGAGAGGGCGGUCGGCCACACUGACACUGACAUACGGGUCAGACUCCUACGGGAGGCAGCAGUCGGGAAUUUUGGGCAAUGGGCGAAAGCCUGACCCAGCAACGCCGCGUGAAGGAUGAAAUCCCUCGGGAUGUAAACUUCGCAAGAACGGGAAGAAUAAGUAGGGGACGAACUACCCCCUACUGAUGACGGUACCGUUUGUAAGCUCCGGCUAACUCCGUGCCAGCCGCCGCAGUAAC
rnacentral:rRNA from 1 species